rnacentral:rRNA from 1 species
GAUGAACGCUGGCGGCGUGCCUAAUACAUGCAAGUCGAGCGAACAGACGAGGAGCUUGCUCCUCUGACGUUAGCGGCGGACGGGUGAGUAACACGUGGAUAACCUACCUAUAAGACUGGGAUAACUUCGGGAAACCGGAGCUAAUACCGGAUAAUAUAUUGAACCGCAUGGUUCAAUAGUGAAAUACGGUUUUGCUGUCACUUAUAGAUGGAUCCGCGCCGCAUUAGCUAGUUGGUAAGGUAACGGCUUACCAAGGCAACGAUGCGUAGCCGACCUGAGAGGGUGAUCGGCCACACUGGAACUGAGACACGGUCCAGACUCCUACGGGAGGCCGCAGUAGGGAAUCUUCGGCAAUGGGCGAAAGCCUGACGGAGCAACGCCGCGUGAGUGAUGAAGGUCUUCGGAUCGUAAAACUCUGUUAUUAGGGAAGAACAAAUGUGUAAGUAACUAUGCACGUCUUGACGGUACCUAAUCAGAAAGCCACGGCUAACUACGUG